rnacentral:rRNA from 1 species
UACGUAGGUGGCAAGCGCUGUCCGGAAUUAUUGGGCGUAAAGCGCGCGCAGGCGGUCCUUUAAGUCUGAUGUGAAAGCCCACGGCUCAACCGUGGAGGGUCAUUGGAAACUGGGGGACUUGAGUACAGAAGAGAAGAGUGGAAUUCCACGUGUAGCGGUGAAAUGCGUAGAGAUGUGGAGGAACACCAGUGGCGAAGGCGACUCUUUGGUCUGUAACUGACGCUGAGGCGCGAAAGCGUGGGGAGCAAACAGG